rnacentral:rRNA from 1 species
AACGAACGCUGGCGGCAUGCCUAACACAUGCAAGUCGAACGAGACCUUCGAGUCUAGUGGCGCACGGGUGCGUAACGCGUGGGAACCUGCCCUUAGGUUCGGAAUAACUCCCCGAAAGGGGUGCUAAUACCGGAUAAUGUCUUCGGACCAAAGAUUUAUCGCCUUUGGAUGGGCCCGCGUUGGAUUAGCUAGUUGGUAGGGUAAAAGCCUACCAAGGCGACGAUCCAUAGCUGGUCUGAGAGGAUGAUCAGCCACACUGGGACUGAGACACGGCCCAGACUCCUACGGGAGGCAGCAGUGGGGAAUAGUGGACAAUGGGCGAAAGCCUGAUCCAGCAAUGCCGCGUGAGUGAUGAAGGCCUUAGGGUUGUAAAGCUCUUUUACCCGGGAUGAUAAUGACAGUACCGGGAGAAUAAGCUCCGGCUAACUCCGUG